AUAAAAGUAAAAUAGUAGUAAUAGUAGUCAUAAAUAAUUACAAAGUUUUGUGAUAGGAGAUAAUUGUAAUUAGAACAAGUUUGGAGAAAUUUUCACUAGAGUGAGUUGUUUAGGUUGACAGUUCUCUUUUAGGUCGACUGCUUUAGGACUUUUCUGUGUGCUGGCAUUUCAGAAGAGCUCUAUGUAAUGUAAUGUCUUUGUCUUUUUGUCAGAAAUUCAUCUGAUGGUUUCACUUUAACGUAGGUUUUUGGUUGUGUGGGUUUUUCAGCUUACUGUAGAUUUGUAGCAUUAUCAUAGGUGAGGCCAAGAGUUCAGAAUAGGGACAUUAUAGACUUAUUUUCUUUAUAGCAAUAAUAGUGUUUAAGAUAAGGAUCCUGUCAAGGUUUGGGAAGAAGAGAAAAGUUCCUGUUACAAUACAUUGGCAAAGUUAAAAUGGCAAAAGUUACCGGAUUCAGUUUCACACACACACACUGAGAUUUGAGGCAUACUAGAUUAGCUGCUACCUCUCUAGAGCAGAUACAUAAAAAGAUGUGACACUUCUAAAAGAUAACUUGAUACAGGCCACUGCAGCUAUUGGGCUGAAAGAUCACAUUAAUGGAGUUAUUUGCUGAGUUAGUUUGCAGUCAUGAAAGUGCAAAAAGAAUUCAAAGCAGAUAACAGACCUGCCUGCACAGCACAUAACAAUGAUUUUACAAGAGAAGCAUUCCUGUAGCAUCACAGCACAGGCCAUAGUCAUACCUGCUGAUGCCGCACUGAUGCCCCUGCCUUAAAACACAUCCCACAGGGAGAUCCAGCCUAGAAAGGGCCAGGAGAUUCGUUAGUGUAGGGAAGGGAUGUGCUUGUGUUUUAUCACCCACAGGUCCUUGGAGGAUACCAGCAAUAAAAGUCAAGCCAUAUCACGACCUGGAGAGAGCAGUUCCUCACCCUGGCACCACAAGGGUCUCAGCUGAUGAUGCAGAAAUGGACGCAUAGGUGUAAAGGGUUAACCCCUCCCUGGGGGUGGCCUGAAUCUGACCCCAGGACAGGUAUAAAUAUUGGGGGAUUUCCCGCUCUUGGGGUUCCCGCCUUAGAAAUCGUGCCUGCUUGAGCGUUCGUGACAACCUGAGAAGACAAGCAGCUGGACCACCCUUUCAGCCAUCCUGACAGUAACAUCGGCGCCCAACACUGAGAGAAUCUACAAUAGAAUCUACAGUACGUGAGCACGAACCCAAUGUCACCUGGGAGUCCCUGUUCUGAGCUUUUGAAUCACCUACAUCUGAUUGAAGUGUGAACUGAACUUGUAUAUAUUGUUUUAGUGUAAAUAUUGGUUUAGAUUAGAUUGGAUAAUUCUCAGCGAUACUCUGAGCGAAGUAGACAGGGGUGGAUUGUGCUAGUUUGAAGCAAGCUGGAAUGUUUUGGUAAAGGAACUAGGUAACAGGCAGUGAAAUGAAAACAAUUGAUGUCAACUUCUCUCACAGUCACGCUGAGAGCUCUGGGAAGAAGAAGUAAACUUUCUCCAUUUUGUUUUUUUCACUCUUGCUUUUGCCUUAGACCGAGACACAUCUUUCUAACAUCACUGCUUUCUAACCCUGCUCCCUAACCUCUUGGCUGCACCUCUCUUCUUCCUGAGAACUGGGGCAAGGUUAAGAGGGCCGGGGGAGGUGUUGGGGUGGUUUGAGAGCCCCUCCUGGGGACUCAGGUUUCUGGGAGGGGAGUUGUGCUUUUUUAUUGUUUAUCCUUUGUAUAUUUCUGUAUAUAAUUGUAUAUAACUGUAUAUAUUGUAAAUAGCUGCUUGUAAAUUCUGCUAGUUGUAAAUAAA